rnacentral:rRNA from 1 species
UAUUGUUAGUUGCCAUCAUUCAGUUGGGCACUCUAGCGAGACUGCCGGUAAUAAACCGGAGGAAGGUGGGGAUGACGCCAAAUCAUCAUGCCCCUUAUGACCUGGGCUACACACGCGCUACAAUGGUUGGUACAACGAGUUGCGAGUCGGUGACGGCGAGCUAAUCUCUUAAAGCCAAUCUCAGUUCGGAUUGUAGGCUGCAACUCGCCUACAUGAAGUCGGAAUCGCUAGUAAUCGCGGAUCAGCACGCCGCGGUGAAUACGUUCCCGGGCCUU